CCCGCCCAACCGUUGGCGCACGUGAUUUCCUGCGAACCAACGCGAAGAACUUUCCCAGGUCUUGACAUCCUGUGACUUCCCGGGAGACAGGGCCUUCCCUUUCGGGGGACAGAGUGACAGGUGGUGCAUGGUUGUUGUCAGCUCGUGUCGUGAGAUGUUGGGUUAAGUCCCGCAACGAGCGCAACCCUUGACCUUAGUUGCCAGCAUUCAGUUGGGCACUCUAAGGUGACUGCCGGUGACAAACCGGAGGAAGGUGGGGAUGACGUCAAAUCAUCAUGCCCCUUAUGACCUGGGCUACACACGUGCUACAAUGGAUGGUACAAAGGGCUGCGAGACCGCGAGGUUAAGCCAAUCCCAGAAAACCAUUCCCAGUUCGGAUUGCAGGCUGCAACCCGCCUGCAUGAAGCCGGAAUCGCUAGUAAUCGCGGAUCAGCAUGCCGCGGUGAAUACGUUCCCGGGCCUUGUACACACCGCCCGUCACACCACGAGAGUUUGUAACACUCCGAAGUCGGUGAGGUAACCUUACGGAGCCAGCCGCCGAGUG
rnacentral:rRNA from 2 species